UGGGGGAUAUUGCACAAUGGAGGAAACUCUGAUGCAGCAACGCCGCGUGAAGGAAGAAGGUCUUCGGAUUGUAAACUUCUGUCUUUAGUGACGAUAAUGACGGUAGCUAAAGAGGAAGCUCCGGCUAACUACGUGCCAGCAGCCGCGGUAAUACGUAGGGGGCAAGCGUUAUCCGGAUUCAUUGGGCGUAAAGAGCUCGUAGGCGGCCCGUUAGGUCAGGAGUCAAAUUCGGGGGCUCAACCCCCGCGCGCUCCUGAUACCGGCGGGCUUGAGUUUGGUAGGGGAAGGUGGAAUUCCCAGUGUAGCGGUGGAAUGCGCAGAUAUUGGGAAGAACACCGGUGGCGAAGGCGGCCUUCUGGGCCAUAACUGACGCUGAGGAGCGAAAGCUAGGGGAGCGAACAGGAUUAGAUACCCUGGUAGUCCUAGCCGUAAACGAUGGACACUAGGUGUGGGCGAAUGUUUCGUCCGCGCCGCAGCCAACGCAUUAAGUGUCCCGCCUGGGGAGUACGGCCGCAAGGCUA
rnacentral:rRNA from 1 species